GUCGUAUCCGGACAGCGGUUCUCCUCGGUCGCGUGCACGUUGGGUCUUUUGCUUUGGCAAGGAAGAUCUAUUGGAAGAAUGAAGACUGUGUUAGAAUAGUCUCGGAAGCAAAUGCAAGCGGAGGGCAAAGCCACUGCGUAGUGCGCUGUCACGAACUCGCAAAACAUUUACCCCGAUCCUCUGUCGACGGUCUUUUCCUCGGCGUAGAGAGCGCCGUUCGGCAAUCCGUCCGACUCCCGGUCUCCGUGCUGUCAGAGUCCCCCUCUACGCUCUCCAGGGAGGGAGUUGU